UACGUAGGGGGCAAGCGUUAUCCGGAUUCACUGGGCGUAAAGGGAGCGCAGGCGGCAUGGCAAGUCUGAUGUGAGAACCCGGGGCCCAACCCCGGGAGUGCAUUGGAAACUGCCAGGCUGGAGUGUCGGAGGGGUAAGCGGAAUUCCUAGUGUAGCGGUGAAAUGCGUAGAUAUUAGGAGGAACACCAGUGGCGAAGGCGGCUUACUGGACGACUACUGACGCUGAGGCUCGAAAGCGUGGGGAGCAAACAGG
rnacentral:rRNA from 1 species